rnacentral:rRNA from 1 species
GUAGGUGGCAAGCGUUAUCCGGAAUUAUUGGGCGUAAAGCGCGCGCAGGCGGUUCUUUAAGUCUGAUGUGAAAGCCCACGGCUCAACCGUGGAGGGUCAUUGGAAACUGGAGAACUUGAGUACAGAAGAGGAAAGCGGAAUUCCACGUGUAGCGGUGAAAUGCGUAGAGAUGUGGAGGAACACCAGUGGCGAAGGCGGCUUUCUGGUCUGUAACUGACGCUGAGGCGCGAAAGCGUGGGGAGCAAACAGGAUUAGAUACCCUGGUAGUCCACGCCGUAAACGAUGAGUGCUAAGUGUUAGGGGGUUUUCCGCCCCCCUUAGUGCUGCAGCUAACGCAUUAAGCACUCCGCCUGGGAGUACGGCCGCAAGGCUG